UACGGGGGGGGCAAGCGUUGUUCGGAAUUACUGGGCGUAAAGGGUUCGUAGGUGGCCGGCUAAGUCAGACGUGAAAUCCCUCAGCUCAACUGGGGAACUGCGUCUGAGACUGGUCGGCUUGAGUGCAGGAGAGGAACGCGGAAUUCCAGGUGUAGCGGUGAAAUGCGUAGAUAUCUGGAGGAACACCGGUGGCGAAGGCGGCGACCUGGGUUGACACUGACGCUGAGGCGCGAAAGCGUGGGGAGCAAACAGG
rnacentral:rRNA from 1 species